CAACAUCACAGCAGAACCAGGACAGAACGUCAGUCUGACAUGUAGAGCUACUAAAAACAGUGAGGUCGAAGUUGUAAGGCUGACCCGAAAUAAAGAAACCGUUUUUCUCUAUAGGUAUAACGGGACUGAUAAAACGGGAGAGCAUCCAGAGUUUAAGGGUCGAUUCAGCCUUCAGAGCCUUUCUACUGCUGAUGGAGAAGUCAAUGUGACAUUAAGCAAUGUCACAGAGAAAGACAAUGGGACAUAUUUGUGCGAUGUCAAGGACAAAGAAAACAACAAAGAGACCAUCAACCAUCUGCAUGUAGAUCGACAAGGAAAAAAGAAGGAACACACGGAGGAAGGCGAGAUCAAGGAUGAGAAUGAUGGUCUGAAAGGUGGAGCACUCGCUGGACUGAUUGCUGGGCUGGUGGCUGUUCUGAUUGUUGCUGUCAUUGUUGCUGUGAUUGUCCGGAAGAAGAGGAGGACUCCUCCUAAUGAGACUGAAAAUGAUGUUGGGAUCCCACUAAGAGCUCAAAAUGCAAGCAGCCCCUCCUAGAGCUCUUCCUUCUUCUUUCAAUGGAUGCGUUGUGACCCCUCAUCAGUGAUGUCUUCUUGGUCCAUUAGGUGUUUUGGGUCUAUAGGAGCUUCGUACUCCCUCCCCCAGAGGACCUGAGCAGAGGUGAUCAGUUCCUGGCCUCCAUCCCAGCAGUAUUUAUCUACUGGUCAGAACCAUCUAGUAACUCCCUCUGUAGCAUCAAAGGUUACUUAAAUGGACAUCACGUUAUCAGGGCAGCAUUUUCCAACAUGCUGAACAGUCUAAACAGUGACGUCCAGCAAAGCCUCAGCUACAGUAUCCACCAUUCAAAAUGGCCCUUCCCUGUCAAACACCAGCCUACUCCCCUGCAGCUUCCAGUAAAAUCCCCUCCAACUUCCAGCCACUGGCCUUCCCCUGGGUGCGAUUAUUUUUUUACUCUGACUCCAUCCUU